rnacentral:ribozyme from 13 species
AAGAAAUGAAACACAAAAAAGAAGACAAACCACGACCAUUCAAUAUCGGAUUCUUGUACACUCAUCAUUUUCAUUAACUCCUUUUGUCGUAAUUCCUUUUCGAGAACAAUGUAUCGAACCAUCGUAGACACGGG